rnacentral:sRNA from 1 species
UGGCCAGGCAUGGUGGCUCACGCCUGUAAUCCCAGCACUUUGGGAAGCUGAUCACCUAAGGUCAGGAGUUUGAGACCAGCCUGGCCAACAUGGCGAAACCCUAUCUCUACUAAAAAUAUAAAAAUUAGCCGGGCAUGGUGGCACGAGCCUGUAUUCCCAGCUACUUGGGAGGCUGAGGCAGGAGGAUCACUUGAACCCGGGAGGCAGAGGCUGUAGUGAGCUGAGAUUGCGCCACCGCACUCCAACCUGGGCGACAGCAAGGCUCCAUCUCAAAAAAAUAAAAAUAAAAAACGGGAUUCUUGUUUGAUCAAAACAAAAGCUUGCAGUUACUAGUAUUAAAAGCAAACACCCAACAAAGUAAAAAGCCCAAACAUGUAUUUGUACUAAAACCUGAAUACACCUACACAUUUAAAGAAGCAUUUUACUUAGAAUUAUAUUUUCCUGUGGAAACUUGAGUAGUGCCAAGAGUAUUUACAUCUUUGACAUCACCUUUACCAUUCACAGACUACUUAAUCUUAGAAUGUGUUUAAUUGAAAGAUAAGCAUACUUAACUAUAGAAUGAUCAGGUUGUUUUAAUAGAGAAGAACUUUGGUUUAAUAUUCUAAUAUUUAACAAAAUACUUUUCCACAGAAUCUACCUGUUACUCGUAUUUUGGACAAUCUUAUGGAGAUGAAGUCAAACCCUGAAACUGAUGACUAUAGAUAUUUUGAUCCCAAAAUGCUGCGGGGCAAUGACAGCUCAGUUCCCAGAAAUAAAAAUCCAUUUCAAGAGGCCAUUGUUUUUGUGGUGGGAGGAGGCAACUACAUUGAAUAUCAGAAUCUUGUUGACUACAUAAAGGGGAAACAAGGCAAACACAUUUUAUAUGGCUGCAGUGAGCUUUUUAAUGCUACACAGUUCAUAAAACAGUUGUCACAACUUGGACAAAAGUAACACAGAAGAACCUUACUAUGAUAAUCUACUUGGAUAAUCUACUUGGAAUGUGGAUAAAUGU